AGUGAACGCUGGCGGUAGGCCUAACACAUGCAAGUCGAACGGCAGCACAGUAAGAGCUUGCUCUUACGGGUGGCGAGUGGCGGACGGGUGAGGAAUACAUCGGAAUCUACUUUUUCGUGGGGGAUAACGUAGGGAAACUUACGCUAAUACCGCAUACGACCUACGGGUGAAAGCAGGGGAUCUUCGGACCUUGCGCGAUUGAAUGAGCCGAUGUCGGAUUAGCUAGUUGGCGGGGUAAAGGCCCACCAAGGCGACGAUCCGUAGCUGGUCUGGGAGGAUGAUCAGCCACACUGGAACUGGGACACGGUCCAGACUCCUACGGGAGGCAGCAGUGGGGAAUAUUGGACAAUGGGCGCAAGCCUGAUCCAGCCAUACCGCGUGGGUGAAGAAGGCCUUCGGGUUGUAAAGCCCUUUUGUUGGGAAAGAAAAGCAGCAGGUUAAUACCCCGCUGUUCUGACGGUACCCAAAGAAUAAGCACCGGCUAACUUCGUG
rnacentral:rRNA from 1 species